GUGAAGGGGACAGGGCACAGAGCCGUGCGAAGCCCCACACUGGCAUUCACCUCAGGCUGAUGACAGUGGCAGUGCGCAGGGGCGCUGCAGGAGGCCGGGGAAGGCGAGGUCACAACAGGCACAAUAGGGAGUCGUUGCCAGGCAACCUCUCUAGGCUUCUGUUGUGAUUCUGCUUUAGUUGGGUCUGGGGGGGUCUCUCUGGAGAGUGGCUAUAAAUGCUAGCCUUUGUGCUGGGCAGCAAAGCAAAUCAUCGGGAAUAACCCGGGAGCCUGGCAGGGAAACCGCUGCACUAUGGAGAGGACGCUUCCAGAUACAGAGGACAAAUCAAGUGAAGGGACGGAACAGGUCACACCCAGAGCGGCACAGAGAUAAAAUGUGGUGUGAGGACACGGCCCAGCCCCACCGUCGUCUUCCAGCCCCACCAUCGUCUUCCAGCCCCACCGUCGUCUUCCAGUCCCACCGUCGUCUUCUAGCCCCACCAUCGUCGUCUUGGACUCUCUGGGUGGCACCACGCUGUGGGUGCUGCUCUCCUCUGUGUCCCAAACGAGUUUGUGCCUCACUUUGUCGGGUUUUGGCUGUGACUUGGAGCCUCACCAAGCUCCCUUUUCCUCUGUCUCCCAUUCUCCUCUCCAGGCCAGGGUGGCUUCCCCAGCCCUCCUCCCCGGGUCCUGCCUGUGCCGAGCCUUCCUCCCAGGAGGGAGGUGAUACUGACUUGAGAUCUUAUGGGUGUUUUGUUUGUGGCUGGGCCUGGCCGACCCUCUCUCCACGGCCUUAGAUCACACUCUGGAUGGAUAGGACAGUCGUCCUCAAUACUGAGCCUCUUUGGAGCAUACCCACUGAUGGUGGUUCACAAGCUACCCACGCCCACAGGCUGACCCAGAUCUCCGUGAAAUUAAAAAAUACUGUGAAAGGAAAAAGAGCCAAUGUCAUGUGGAUAAUGAAGUGUCAGCCACUGAAAAAUCUCAAAAUAAUAAACAUGGCUUGUUUGUCAGGGUUCUCUAGAGAAACAGCAGCAACUGUGUGUGUGUGUGUGUGUGUGUGUGUGUGUGUGUGUGUGUGCGCGCAGAGAGAAAGAAGGAGGGAGGAAGACAUAAGGAAUCAGCUCAUGCAAUUGUGCAGCCUGGCAUGUCCACAGUCUGUAGGAUGGGCCGGCACGCUGGAGACCCAGGAAAGAGCUGCAGUUUGAAUAGGAAGGCCAUGGGCGGGAGAGUUCCUUCCUGUUCAGGGGACCUCAGUCUUUCUCUAGAAGACCUUUGGCUGACCGGAUGAGGCUCAUCCACGCUAUGGACACAAAUCAGCUUUACUCAAAGUCUACUGAUUUAAACGUUAAUCUCAUCUACAAAAAGUACCUUCACAAAAACAUCUAGAACAACGUUUGACCAAAUAUCUGGGUACUGUGGCUUAGCCAGGUUG
rnacentral:lncRNA from 1 species